AAAUUUCAUAGUUCUUUUAGAACUUUUUCUAGUAGGAUUUCCUACCUUGGUUGGAAAUCCCAA
ensembl:snRNA LOC120096771 U7 small nuclear RNA